UGCCAGACUCCUACGGGAGGCAGCAGUGGGGGAUAUUGCACAAUGGGGGAAACCCUGAUGCAGCGACGCCGCGUGAGUGAAGAAGUAUUUCGGUAUGUAAAGCUCUAUCAGCAGGGAAGAAGAUGACAGUACCUGAGUAAGAAGCCCCGGCUAACUACGUGCCAGCAGCCGCGGUAAUACGUAGGGGGCAAGCGUUAUCCGGAUUCACUGGGUGUAAAGGGAGCGUAGACGGCGACGCAAGUCUGGAGUGAAAGCCCGGGGCCCAACCCCGGGACUGCUCUGGAAACUGUAAAGCUGGAGUGCGGGAGGGGCAGGCGGAAUUCCUGGUGUAGCGGUGAAAUGCGUAGAUAUCAGGAGGAACACCGGCGGCGAAGGCGGCCUGCUGGACCGUAACUGACGUUGAGGCUCGAAAGCGUGGGGAGCAAACAGGAUUAGAUACCCGAGUA
rnacentral:rRNA from 1 species